GGUCGCAAGAAGUCGGACUUGACUGAGCACAGCACAGCACACCAGAAAACGGCGACACCCCAAAACUGGUAUACGUUCAGAUAUCUCACGUCUAGGCAUGGGGGUAUUUGGAUUGAGACUGAGUUCAUUUUGUCAAUAGAAACAUAAAAUUUGGAAGUUCUGACUCUGCUUUUCCAUGCAACAUCCUGGAAAAGAGGCUGGCACAAAAGCAUGCACUGGACAUGCCAAGGAAGAACACGGCACCCACACUCAAAAACCAAACUUUCCGCACAGCUGAAACCAGGAGGCAUGGAGAAACCCCAAUAUCAAAACAGGCCGGAUGCGGGUGUGGAAGGAGAACCUUGUUAAUCCGCUGUGGACCAAGAGAACUUCCUGGAACUUCCUUUUGAAUUUCAAAUAUUCCAGCAGCAGCUUGGAAACCAGACGCCACUCUCAGGAAGACACAACAUGUCUAGAGCUGGGUGAUGACCACAACUCCGCCAGCAAGUGACCUGCUAAGGAGAUGGUGGUGGGGCUGGUUGAAGUGAAUCAGCAGCCAAGACAUGCACUUUGCAACAGGGAAAAACAUGCAGACCAAACAGAUAUAAAUGCUACAUCCUUACCCUCUCAAAAUUGAGGCUGAGAAGUUUCCAGAGGAAAUGGGAAGGGGUGGGGGUGGGGGCAGCCAAGGGAA